GUAGUCCGCACAGUAAACGAUGGAUGCCCGCUGUUAGCACCUAGUGUUAGCGGCUAAGCGAAAGCAUUAAGCAUCCCACCUGGGGAGUACGCCGGCAACGGUGAAACUCAAAGGAAUUGACGGGGGCCCGCACAAGCGGAGGAACAUGUGGUUUAAUUCGAUGAUACGCGAGGAACCUUACCCGGGCUUGAAUUGCAGAUGUUUAUAUCAGAGAUGAUAUAUUCCCUUCGGGGCAUUUGUGAAGGUGCUGCAUGGUUGUCGUCAGCUCGUGCCGUGAGGUGUCGGCUUAAGUGCCAUAACGAGCGCAACCCCUUUUUUUAGUUGCCAUCAGGUAGUGCUGGGCACUCUAGAGAUACUGCCACCGUAAGGUGUGA
rnacentral:rRNA from 1 species